ACUCUCAGAAUGACUGAAGGAGCUGUUUUUGUCCCUAUAUCUUUCUCUCUAGCUGCGGCUCGUCCCACUGUGGCAGUACUUUGGCCCUCCAGAAAUGAACUGCAGAAGGGUCAGGCUACAGUACUGUGUGUGGCCAGUAAGGGAUUCCCAUCUGACUGGACCCUGAGCUGGAAGGUAGAUGACAGCAGCAGGAGCUCUGGUGUGAAUGUGAGUCCCAGUGAGCUGCAGGAGGAUGGACUGUACAGCUGGAGCAGCAGCCUGAGCCUCACUGAGAGUGAGUGGAGCAGAGCAACAAGCAUCAGCUGUGACGCCACACACCCGUCCCAGCACACAGUGAGCCACAAGAUACGUACACAGCAGUGCCAUGAUUAGCAGCACGAAACACACACACACACACACACA